UCUUAGAUGGUAAAGAAUCCACCUGCAAUGUGGGAGACCCAGGUUUGAUCCCUGG
rnacentral:tRNA from 1 species